rnacentral:lncRNA from 1 species
GAUAAUUGAAACAGCCAUAGAGCAAUUCAAUUUAACAAAUACAACUAUUGUUGUAGGUGAAGAUGUAGACUUGCUCGUAUUACUCACUGGUAGAACUCCAAUC